UCCCGCGCGUCUCGGGAAACUUGUCCUACUUCUUCUUGUUCUCGUUCUUGUAAGGAGCAGCAACAAGUGUUCUCCUCCUCAUCAGCUUCCUCCUCCUUCUCGCAGUGAUCUCAGCAGCCUGACAGCGUCGGCCUGGAGUGGUGACGUCACGGGAUACGCCCCCCUCUCCGGAAAAGCACUGCCGGAGGAGGAGGAAGAGGAGCAGGUGAACUUUCACAUGGAAGUUGUUGAGAUUGGAAUGGAAAUGUCUUAACGUGAAGAAAAGUGAGGAUCUUUGCUAGACUUUGAGUUAAGUUGGACCAGAACCAGCAGAACCAUCAAAUGGCACAACCAGGCCACCAAAACUAACCUUGUGACGGCUAGGUCAUGUCGUCAGAAACACAGGUGCAUUUCAUGUUUUAUUGUGUGCUUUGUAGCCUCUUGUCAAUUGUGUGUGAUUUGUUGGGGGGAAAAGCAAGUUUUCUGCGUGCGUUGUGUAGCGAUGUUUUUUUUUGUUGUUGUUGCUUGGCGCAUUCCUGUGACGUCACGAUAUGGCCCAUUAUACAUUAUAAUUGUCAUAGGAGUACGUGAAUAAUGAAAAAAAUGAAAAACAAUGAGCGCUUAACACUCACAAUUACGAGAGCACCUGAACGCCUCACCGCACAGAGCGCAUAGUCAUAGCAGAGAGAAGGAAAGUUCUUCAUUGCUCUGUGUGAGGUAUAUAAAUAAGUAAAUUUCAUGAUUAUGUUGUGUAUAAAGAGUGUUUCAUCUUGAAGGUUUCAUUUAUAUCGGUGUUCCAAUCCCCCCCGUGAAAACCUGUCGACGUAUGUGCGUGUCAGGAUGAGAGUAUAGAUUCCCCUUAAAAUGAGGUUUUAUCGCUGCUUGUAUGUAUUUUUGUACUUUGGAUACUGCUUUAUCAUGUUUGUUCAACUUUCCCUUUCAAUUUGGUAUCAAAUUAAUAUGCAGGUUUAAAUCAUAGCGAUUGCAAGUGGACAAAAGUGAAGCUCAAGUUCAACCCAUUCAAACGGAGGGAUCCCAACAUUCGGCUGAAAUAAAAGAUAUGUAGGACGAAUACUUAGAUACUUUAUUCAUCUCCAGGAGAUAUUGACAUUUUAUCCAUUUAUUAGUGCUCAUGUAAAACUUUUAUCAAAAUGUAACCAUCCAAAAUACAAAUUUUUGAACUUACUAUAAAAUUAAUUAACCAGUUAGUCAUGUUUAAUAGUUCAAUCUAAUGAAAAUUAAAAAUAUUUUGUCUUUUUAAGUGUGCAGGAGUAGGGGUGCAUGCUUUGAAGUCAAAUGCCUGAAGGGGUCCGCGACUGUGAAAAGUUUGGGAACCACUGGGCUCGAAGAAGCUGCUUGAAAACAUACAAGUGAAAAUUCAAAUAUGGGAAUUACAGUAGUACCUCGCAUAACGUAAACCUCCUUUUACAUAAAUUCCACUGAACAUAAAGAAUUUAUGUAAAGUUUUUGCUUCGUUUUACAGAAGAAAUUCCAUAUAACAUAAAGUGUCAAGUCAGUGCAAGUCUUUUUUUUUUCAAUUAACUUUAUUAAUGCUUCAAGUCAGUGCAAGUUCAGACUAACACUUGGUGACGCCUUCUGACGCAUCACGCUCUCAUUGACUGAUUUCCAGGGCACCGCCUCCGCUCUCAUCUCAUUGGCUGAUUUUCGGGGCACCACCUGCGCUCUCAUCUCAUUGGCUGAGUUAUACAAGCACGUACAUGAGUUUGUGUGAGAGACAGGCUUGUCCCUUCAACCUCCUUCCUCUUUGUAGUCCCCCUGAAACUAACCUAAACAAUUAAGUUAAGUUACAAAUUAAAAUUUUGCACACAGUAUUAUCGUGUAGUGCGUGUGCGUUUGUCUGUGAGACCAGCUGACUCUUAGACUCUUUGAGUUGCGUUUCGACUCAGGCUAGUCCUCCUCCUCCUUCCUGCCUCCACUUGCACUCCUGAUCAAGACAUCUCGUGAACGUGGACCUGGCUGGUCCGCGUGGAUGAAGAGACAGAGUCUGUUGAAGGCGACAAAGCAUGAGGCGGACCCGACUGAUUGAUGGUGGUGCGUCAAAGAAAAGGAUGAAAGUGAAAAGCGAAGUGAAAUCUGACGUUGUAAAAUGCUCAGAAAUGGAGAAACGCUGAUCAACAUUGGUUGCAUGCCCGGUUCAAGCUGCUCAAGCACCCCAACCAUCAUGGAUGAUAAAGAUGGUAUCUUUGGACAUGUGCUCCUCUGAAAUGGACUAUGAUAACUUCGCAGUGUAGUGGUCUCAUUAUUGACAUGUCAUCCUCCUAAUAAGCCUGUCUCUCCCUUCCUUGCAACGCCCCUUUCAGGUGCAAGACAACCAAAGGGAUACAAGCAAGGAGUUGUUCUGAACUGUCACAAACUGCAUUGAAGACAAAUAAAACAAGCUAUCAGAUGUUAUAUGAAAUGUAAUACUUACGAUUUGGAUGACUUUUGGUCAUAAGCUUGGUUCCCGUGGUUACCACAAGUCCCUGACGGACGCAGCGCUUUUGUUCUCGCUGCAAAGAUGCGUUGAUUCAUUUGUGUAAUAAAAAGAGCAUGAGAUCAUGUUCCUCCCUCCCAAAUGUUUCGUCUCAAGCAUCUUUGAGCUUUAAUUGUCAAGCGGACGCCAACACAGGGAGAGCGGCGUGGGAGUGACGAGGAGCGCCAGGACAGGUUGCCUUGAACUUUCCUACCUUCAGUCCCUCCUCCCCCCUACUCCAGUCUGGGAAAUUUAAGGAUUUCAGGAAAUUCUCUGGCAGGACAUGAGCUGCUGGAGGUCCUUGACCAGGAGACACAAAGACUGGUGGACAUUUAAGAGACACUCAUUAACUUUAUGAUCACGUUUGUUAGUUUAGCAUCCCAUGAAUCUGGAGAGGAGAAUAUCGACAGGAAGUUACAUGAAGUAAGAAUCAAAGCAGUAAAGCCAAGUUUAGACUGCUUUGUUGUUUCUACCUUACAGCGGUUAGAGGUUUGCUUUUCCUUUGGCUUUUACAUCUUUUUAUGACACUUAUUCCAAAAGAACAAAAAAGAAAAAGAGUCGUGUAGACAGGAAGUUACAUGAAGACAGGAAGUUACUUGAAGUUUCCGUCGUAGAAGUAAAGCCAAGUGUAGACACUGUUUUGCUUUUUUCGCCUGAAAGUGGUUAGCUGUUUGCUUGUUCUUUGGCUUUCAUGUGUUUUUUUGUGACCAGAAGAAUACAGAAUAAUAAUAUAGACAGGAAGUUAGACAGUGAAAUAACAGUCACAGCAAUCCAAUUAAGUUUUGAUAUUAUUAUGUUGCUUUUAUAACCUUACAGAGCUUGGUGGUUUGCUUUUUCUUUGGCUUGUAUGCCUUUUUGUGCCACGUACUGAAAAAGAUGAUUAUAGACAGGAAGUUGUGUGAAGUAGCAUUCAAAGCAGCAAAGCCAAAUUUACAUAGACAUACUAAACUUGACCUUUUAGUGGUUAAUGGGUUGCUUUUUCUUUGGCUUUUAUGUCUUUUUUAUGCCACUUAUUCCAAAAGAACACAGAAGAAUAAAACAAGUUAGACAGUGAAAUAAUAGUCACAAUAAAAACAAAUGUACAUAGACUGAUUAGUCAUUUUACCCUCCAGUGGUUUGCUUUUUCUUUGGCUUUUAUGUCUUUAUGUACCACUUAUUUGAGAAGAACACAGAAGAAGAAUAUAGACAGGAAGUUAGACAGUGAAGUAACAGUCAAAGCAGUAAAGUUUGGAUAUUAUUGUUUUUACUUCACAGUGGUUCACUUCUUUUUAAACUUUUCAGUUGAAAAGAGACUCCAUCAUGACCAUCAUGACCAUCAUGACCAUCACGUUCAUCAUCAUCGUGUUGUCUCCUCCGGCUGUGCUUUAAAAGACACGAGCUUAGUCAAAAGACACUAGUGAGUCACGGUACAGCUUGCCGCAUGUCAGCGUUCGUCUUCACGAGGCCUUGCCGGCUUAUUUACGACACGGUUGGCAUCCAAGAACACCGAGUACCACGCAGCGCGCGUCACCGUCUGAAGGUCCACUAGAUAAAAUACGAUCACCAAGACCUGAAGAAGGAAGGGAAAUAAUCUUCAAUUGAAAGAGGUUGUUAGCAAGAUGCUAACCGCAUGAAGCUGCCAUCAAAUGUCACCUGACCUUCCCAGGAAGGAACUUUUUUGUCUUUAAAGUUUUUGGGAGAUUUUCAGCACAGCUUUUGGUCUUCACGGAGCGCCAGCGUUUAGUCUCAUUAAUUCUCAGGCCCCUCUAGUAAACAGACUUUUAUGAGGGCACACACGUGGAAACGUAGCCGAAUGUUUGCUCAGUCAGAAUAAAUUCUGGAGCUUGAAUAUUCAUGCCAGGAGAGCUAAUACUUUCAUUUGACUGUGGCUUUCUCUCUGUUAGCCUUUUUUAUUAGACGUGUCUCCUCCUCUUCUCCUCCAAAGAUCUGCUCUUCACGGACAGACGCUCUCCAAUGACGCUAUUCACUGAGCUCUCAGUGGACAAUGUAGGAGGAGGAGGUUCAUACCAUGCUUGAACUCUGCUUUCUGUCGCCAUCUUUCUCUGGCCAUUGUUCUACUCGGCCACAAAAGGCCUUUUAGUGUCCAGAUGUGAUGGAAAAUGAAAUCCACAGUAAAAAAAAAAAAAAAAAAAAAAACAUGAGAGGAGUGAGACUGACAAAGGAGGCGGAUGCUCCAUCAGAGAGACGUUGCGGCGUCUAUUUGCGUCAUCGCCUGACAUUCUUCAGCAUCUCCAAUAUGUGCUUGUUGUUGCUAUCUAUCACAAGAGCGUUGCUUCUAAGCCGUGUUGUUUGCAGGGUGAUGUCGUCGGGCAGGCGCUCCAGAAUUGGGAAUGGUUGUUGUAGCAGCCCUGAGCAUCAAUAACCAAAUGUCGAGUUCGACGGAUACAACUUCAUUCCUUCGUUGGUUACCGUGAAAGCAAAACACAUUGCAAACAUCAAAAUCAAUACUAUUUAAAACAUUGACAUUUUUCACAUCUUAACAUUUACAAUUCACAACAAAUAGCAUUUAAUAUAUACUGUGUUCAGGACAUUUUAUUAAACCCACAUACACACACCCUAGUAGCCCUUUAAUGCAGCAACAAUGGCACAUCACUAAUAUUUGAAUACCUCAUACUUCACUUUGCCUACCGAGGGUGCAAAUUAGAUGUGAAUAGCCGCGUCGAAAGGCCACGUUUACGCGAGCUCGGACCACCCGCAGUCACUGAUACACAAACACACAUAAAUGCUGGGCUUACUGACAAACAACACAACAAUUUUGUGAAGAUUUAUCUAUUUGCUUCACAAAAAGCAGUGCCUUUUCCUCACAUUCACAGCCAUUAAGGUAACAAAAAAAAACUUACCAACAAUGCAUUUCAAAAUAACAUAAAAUGUCUCAUUUUUUCAUCUGCACAGUACGAUCACAGUGACGGCUAGACUCCUUGAAGUGAAUGGAACACAAGUAAAGUGAAUUGCAAGAAAAGCUGUUGUACACGGUAUAAGUACAAUUGUUUGGGUUUCAUCCAUACAAGCGGUUGAAGGCUGAUACUUCAGCUGCUUCCAGUGCCCUUGUAUGGCCCAUAAAAAUGAACAUUAUCAGCAUGAACAGACUUUAUUCUCAUAUACAUCCCAGAACACAUGAAUCUAUAAUAGAGAGAGUUUAAACGCAUAUCACAACCGAUGAAGUACUUCAAAUGCAAUGCAAUACAGUACGCAGCCAAAAUGUUUUACGGAUCUGCAUUGGCACACAUUUUGUUCCCCUGACAAGAGAUAUUAUCUGUCCUAUAUUACAGUACUCUCAAAGCAAAAGCAUGAAAAUACCCACGGAGGACCCCAAUCUCACACAGCAUCUGCAAUAUGGAAUAACUGGUGCACAUUGAAUGUCCAGUAUUCUUGGCCAUACAAUAUGGGAACUUGUCUAACAAACAUUAUCAGCGAAAUCAACCUCUAUUCCAUUUUCCUCCGCUUAUCCGGCUCGCGGGGGCAGCAGUCUCAGUGGGGAAGCGCAGGCUUCCCGGUCCCUGGCCACCUCCUCCAGCUCCACCGGGAGGACACCAAGGCGUUCCCAGGCCAGCUGUGAGACAUAAUGUUGUAGGUCCUAGGCCCUUCUCCCGGCUGGGCAUGCCCGGAACACCUCACCAGGGAGGCGUCCGGGUGGCAUCCGGACUAGAUGCCCAAGCCACCUCAACUGGCUCCUCUCGAUGCGAAAGAGCAGCGGCUCUACUCUGAGCUCCUCCCGGAUGACCGAGCGCCUCACACUGUCUCUUACGGUGAAUCCAGCUGGCCUACGGCGGAAACUCAUUUCCUUGGC